GCUGAUAUGGCCGAGUCGUUAAGGCGAGUGAUUUGAACGAUCAAUAUCACUUGGGCUUUGCCCGCGUAGGUUCAAAUCCUGCUGUCAGCG
rnacentral:tRNA from 1 species